UACGUAGGUGGCAAGCGUUGUCCGGAAUUACUGGGCGUAAAGGGCGUGUAGGCGGCUUUUUAAGUCAGACGUGAAAUCCCUGGGCUUAACCCAGGAACUGCGUCCGAUACUGGAAGGCUUGAAUCCGGGAGAGGGAUGCGGAAUUCCAGGUGUAGCGGUGAAAUGCGUAGAUAUCUGGAGGAACACCGGUGGCGAAGGCGGCAUCCUGGACCGGUAUUGACGCUGAGGCGCGAAAGCCAGGGGAGCAAACGGG
rnacentral:rRNA from 1 species